rnacentral:rRNA from 1 species
CAGUCGCCGCGGGAAUACGGAGGGUGCAAGCGUUACUCGGAAUUACUGGGCGUAAAGCGUGCGUAGGUGGUGGUUUAAGUCCGUUGUGAAAGCCCUGGGCUCAACCUGGGAAUUGCAGUGGAUACUGGGUCACUAGAGUGUGGUAGAGGUUAGUGGAAUUUCCGGUGUAGCAGUGAAAUGCGUAGAGAUCGGAAGGAACAUCUGUGGCGAAGGCGACUUUCUGGGCCAACACUGACGCUGAGGCACGAAAGCGUGGGGAGCAAACAGGAUUAGAUACCCCAGUAGUCCCUGUCUCUUAUAA